rnacentral:sRNA from 1 species
CACCAACUCCCGCGGCCAGCGGCUACCCCAGAAGGGAGACGUGGAGAUGCUGUGCGGCGGGCCGCCCUGCCAGGGCUUCAGCGGCAUGAACCGCUUCAAUUCGCGCACCUACUCCAAGUUCAAAAACUCUCUGGUGGUUUCCUUCCUCAGGUAAACGGGUAGAAGCCCCCCAGUGUUGCCAGACGGCCCGGGGCUAUGCCACAUGUCAGCAGUGGUCAUUUUUGCCCUGCACUGAGGCCUCUGCCCCCUGGAAGCUCACAGCUCAGCUCUCACCAGGGAGAGACUUUGAUAACAUUCGUGAGGGGCUUCCGGCACAGUGGGUCGUUUCUCCCCUCUGUCUGUGGAGGUGACUCCUGCAGUCUCUCCCACCCCCUACAGCUACUGCGACUACUACCGGCCCCGGUUCUUCCUCCUGGAGAAUGUCAGGAACUUUGUCUCCUUCAAGCGCUCCAUGGUCCUGAAGCUCACCCUCCGCUGCCUGGUCCGCAUGGGCUAUCAGUGCACCUUCGGCGUGCUGCAGGCCGGUCAGUACGGUGUGGCCCAGACACGGAGGCGGGCCAUCAUCCUGGCCGCGGCCCCUGGAGAGAAGCUCCCUCUGUUCCCGGAGCCACUGCACGUGUUUGCUCCCCGGGCCUGCCAGCUGAGUGUGGUGGUGGAUGACAAGAAGUUUGUGAGCAACAUAACCAGGUUGAGCUCGGGUCCUUUCCGGACCAUCACGGUGCGAGACACGAUGUCCGACCUGCCGGAGGUGCGGAAUGGAGCCUCGGCACUGGAGAUCUCCUACAACGGGGAGCCUCAGUCCUGGUUCC